CAUGGCAAGUCGAACGGUGAACACGGAGCUUGCUCUGUGGGAUCAGUGGCGAACGGGKGAGUAACACGUGAGCAACCUGCCCCUGACUCUGGGAUAAGCGCUGGAAACGGCGUCUAAUACUGGAUAUGUGACGUGACCGCAUGGUCUGCGUCUGGAAAGAAUUUCGGUUGGGGAUGGGCUCGCGGCCUAUCAGCUUGUUGGUGAGGUAAUGGCUCACCAAGGCGUCGACGGGUAGCCGGCCUGAGAGGGUGACCGGCCACACUGGGACUGAGACACGGCCCAGACUCCUACGGGAGGCAGCAGUGGGGAAUAUUGCACAAUGGGCGCAAGCCUGAUGCAGCAACGCCGCGUGAGGGACGACGGCCUUCGGGUUGUAAACCUCUUUUAGCAGGGAAGAAGCGAAAGUGACGGUACCUGCAGAAAAAGCGCCGGCUAACUACGUGCCAGCAGCCGCGGUAAUACGUAGGGCGCARGSGUKAUCCGGAAUUAUUGGGCGUAAAGAGCUCGUAGGCGGUUUGUCGCGUCUGCUGUGAAAUCCGGAGGCUCAACCUCCGGCCUGCAGUGGGUACGGGCAGACUAGAGUGCGGUAGGGGAGAUUGGAAUUCCUGGUGUAGCGGUGGAAUGCGCAGAUAUCAGGAGGAACACCGAUGGCGAAGGCAGAUCUCUGGGCCGUAACUGACGCUGAGGAGCGAAAGGGUGGGGAGCAAACAGGCUUAGAUACCCCUGGUASUCCACCCCCGUAAACGUUGGGAACUAGUUGUGGGGUCCAUUCCACGGAUUCCGUGACGCAGCUAACGCAUUAAGUUCCCCCGCCUGGGGGAGUACGGCCGCAAGGCCUAAAACUCAAASGAAUUGACGGGGGACCCGCMACAAGCGGCGGAAGCAUGCGGAUUAAUUCCGAUGCACSGCGAAGAAACCUUACCAAGGCUUGGACAUAUACGAGAACGGGSCCAGAAAAUGGGKCCAACUCUUUGGGAMCACUCCSUAAAACRAGGYKGGCYGCCAUGGGUUGGU
rnacentral:rRNA from 1 species